rnacentral:lncRNA from 1 species
AUGUGGCCUCACUAUUUCAUGUUAUCAUCACAACCCCACCCAGAGAUGAGGACAGGGGCCAGAAAGUCUCAUCCUUUUCCUUAUAUAGCAGAUAAAGAAAUGGAGGCUCAGAGACAUUGUGUAGCUUGCCUAAGGUCACACAGCGAGCCAGAGGCAGAACUGGGGUUUGAACCACCCAUGCCAGAGCUUGUGGCUGCUCCUCACCUCCUGCGUGGGUCUCCUCAUUGCCUCCCCAGGAUUCCCGGUGGCUCUGUUUCUCUGGGGUCAGGGCUAUUCCAUCAGUCAAAUCUGCACACGGAGAUGUGUACCAUGCCAGACAGCGGGCAAUGUGGAGACGAACCCCAAGGCUCCUAUCCUCAAGAGCCCACGGUGUCCACCCUCCGGGGGCCUUGCAGCUCUAGCUCGCCUUCCUGAGGGCGGAGGCUCUCCCCACUCUGCCGCCCCGGGAGUCUGCCCUUCUCCGGCCGUUCUGCCCAGGAUUGGUUUCAUACAGGAUCUCCUCCAGCCGAGGAAGAGCAGGGCUUGCAGGAGCAGCAGGCCCAGGGCCUCGGUGGAAGGCUGGGUGUGUGAGGAGGGUGCAGAGGGAGGCCUGAGGAUCUUGCUCAGGAGGCCCCCCAGGGACUAAGGCAGGAGGAGCGGUGGGGACGGGAGUGCGGGGGGCCACUGGGAAGCAAGGGAGAAGGCUGUAUGUCAGGUGGGGACAGGCCAGCAACAGGGAUGACCCCGGCACCGGGAGCAGCUUAGAGGUGGGGACCCGUCCUGUUCAUCUGUGCUGCCCUGUGCCUGGCAUGUUCCGUAGGUGCUCAGGGAAUGUCUGCCCAGUGGAUGCAAUCAUUCUUUCAUGCAUUCAUUCGUUCAUUCAACAGAGACACUGUGCCACUUUGGACUGAAAAAGGAGAUCAAGCGCUGAGUAAGACAGAGAAGGUCCCUGCCCUCUGGGUCCUUGUGAGCAAGGGGUGGGGGGUGGAUAUAAACCAGGAGCUAAAUAACUGAUUAACCAACUGGCUAAGUCACGAACAUUUUUAGUC